rnacentral:rRNA from 1 species
GACGAACGCUGACGGCGUGCUUAACACAUGCAAGUCGAAGGGAGUGGCGAACGGGUGAGUAACACGUGAGUAACCUGCCCUUUUCUUUGGGCUAAGCCUGGGGAACUGGGUCUAAUACUGGAUGGAUUGGGAUGGGCUCGCGGCUUAUCAGCUUGUUGGUGGGGUGAGGGCUGACCAAGGCGUUGACGGGUAGCCGGCCUGAGAGGGGGGGCGGGCACACGGGGACUGAGGUACGGCCCAGACUCCUACGGGAGGCAGCGUUGGGGGAUAUUGCACAAGGGACGAAAGGCUGAUGCAGCGACGUCGUGUGGGGGAUGAAGGCCUUCGGGUUGUAGACUCCUUUCGCCCGCGGAAUGGUAGUGGGUAAAGAAGCGCCGGCUAACUACGUGCCAGCAGCCGCGGUAAUAC